rnacentral:rRNA from 1 species
GAUGAACGCUAGCGGCAGGCCUAAUACAUGCAAGUCGGACGGGAUUUGGGAGCUUGCUCCCAAUGAGAGUGGCGCACGGGUGCGUAACACGUAUGUAACCUACCUUAAUCAGGGGGAUAGCCUCUCGAAAGAGAGAUUAACCCCGCAUAAAAUGACGACUCAGCAUUGAGAUGGAAUCAAAUAUUUAUAGGAUUAAGAAGGGCAUGCGGGACAUUAGCUAGUUGGCGGGGUAACGGCCCACCAAGGGGACGAUGUCUAGGGGAUCUGAGAGGGUGGCCCCCCACACUGGUACUGAGACACGGACCAGACUCCUACGGGAGGCAGCAGUAAGGAAUAUUGGUCAAUGGGCGCAAGCCUGAACCAGCCAUGCCGCGUGCAGGAAGACGGCCCUACGGGUUGUAAACUGCUUUUGUACCGGAAUAAACCUUUUCACGUGUGAGAAGCUGAAUGUACGGUAAGAAUAAGGAUCGGCUAACUCCGUGCCAGCCGCCGCGGUAACAC